rnacentral:misc_RNA from 1 species
GGUUCGAGCCUUAUGAGCCUUGAGAGCCUGAGGCACACCUUUAAUAACUAUGAUGGCAAAUGAGGAUUUCAGUUUUCAAGGCACCACAGGAAAACAUAAACUGCUUAACAGAAUAUAAGUGAAUAACAAAAAACAAUAAAAGAAUGUAAAAAUGGCUCAGAAUAAUUUGCAAAAACAAAAUCGACCAGUCUUAAAAUUUUCCAUUUCUCAGUUGAAAAGGAUGAUAUCCUUGUUUCCACUGUUCAAGGUAGUAUGUCUUGACUCAUGAUACACCAUGAAACUCCUACUCUAAUCAUCUGUCUCAUAACAUGCAACAGCAACCAUGUGCAUGCCAACAUGGUCCUUCUUUGAAAGACUUUAUUGCUUUUCAUUAUCUUACUUUAUCAGCUAAAAUGAUAACACAUAAAAAAGUGUUACAGCUCACAUAUAAAUAAUUAAACACUUGAAUGAACAAAAAAAGAAUACCACCACCAACAACUAUCAUGUAUAAAAUUAGAAGUGAGAAGUCAGGAAGUUCUCCAAUGCAUUCGAUCCUCAUUUAAAGGCCCUCAUGGAAAAAAGUUUUCAAACUUGUAGACUAAAUUACUCAGCCAGAAGAGCAAUAAAGGGAAGCAGAAAUCCAGAGAGAUCAUCUACUUUGGAAACUCAUGACAAAAGAUCGAUACAUUGAUACGCAGUUGACUAAAAGACAACAACCAAUUCAUUAAUAUUUUUUGGAAAGUUCACCCAUACAUACCCUGGAUGGAUUUGCAACAAAUAUGCGAGAAAGGAGAUGUCUGCAAUCUUGAGAAAUGUGCACAUAGUCAGGGAUCUUGUAUUGAACAGCCAUUAUUCUAUUGAUAGUUUUUCUGAAAUUCUUUGGGUCCUCUUGAUCUUCAAAUGGGUAUGCUCCGACCAACAUAACAUACAGAGUCACUCCACAAGACCAUACAUCUGCCAUCUUCCCAUCAUAUUCUCUCCUAGAAAAAACCUCUGGGGCAAUAUAUGCUGGAGUGCCAACUGUGGAUUUCGGUCUUGAAUGCAGCAAGGAUGACUUAGAAUAACCAAAAUCACAGAUUUUCACACGUGGUGCUGGGCUUCCAUCCAGCAAGGUAUUUUCUAGCUUCAAAUCUCUAUGGCAAAUUUGCAGAGCAUGGCAGUAACUGACUCCUGAAAUAAGCUGUUGAAAAAAGUAUCUAGCCUCAUCUUCGCUGAAUCUUCCAGCAUUGCAGAUUCGCUCAAAAAGCUCUCCUCCUGCAGCAUAUUCCAUAACAAUGGCGAGAUGGGUUGGUGUCAAAACCACCUCCUUGAAGCGAAUUAUGUGUGGGUGGCUAAGUGAUCUGUGAUUUAUGAUCUCCCUUGCCACAUUCUCAUCAAUCUUGUGGCCGCGCUCGAUGUACUUCAUAGCGACGAGCUCUUUGGUCUCCUUGUUCCUCAUGAGCCUGGCCACUCCAAAAUUCCCAGAUCCUAUAUCUUUCACAAGCUCGUACUUAUCCAUUUUUUACUUCUUUUAUUUCCCACAGCUAACCACAAAUAAAAAACCUAAAUUAAGCUCCAAUUAAUCUCCUAGUCAAUCCCAAUUCAGCUUCAAUUCAUAUCUCCAACCUCAAAAACCGUAUAAAGGCUACAACUUGACAAUAAUAAUUCAAUAAAAAGCAGGAAUUUUGAGUGAGAAGGGCAGGAAUCUGAGGUAAUUAAGAGAGAUUUAAGAAUGAAAAGGGAGAAGGUAGUGAUGGGUUUGGAGAGAUUUGAAGGAAAGUGAAGAACUGUGAAAUUUGAAAAGAAAGGAAAGAAUCAAACUGUGAUUGUCAUAAGAACAGAGAAUCUACAAAACUGUUAACUUUUGGGUAUUGAGAGAGAGAGAGUGUGUGUUAAUGUAUCCUUUUGCACAGAGAGGGUGAGAGAGUGUGAGAGAAUGUGUGCAAUUUG